ensembl:lncRNA
CUGAGUCACCAGAGAGGCCAAUCCCAAUAUCUAGUCUCAAUUUAGGAAGCCAGUUGGCUACAGCUGGGGACUUUUGCUCCCAUCUGGACCAUGGGACUUUCCAAGUGACACAUUGCCCACAAGGAUGUAGACCUGAAGGAUACAUAAGCAAGAGCAUCUAAAUAAAAGGAUUCCAUAAAACCUGAAAGAAUUCCCUACCUCAACAUGUGACUCACCUUCUAAUCUGGAUGAUAACAGCUAGUCUUCAUGCAGGUGUGCCUCUCAGUGGGCUGCCCUGGUGGCUCAGACACGAAAGAAUCUGCCUGCAAUGCAAGAGACCUCGGUCAGGAAGAUCCCCCAGAGAAGGGAAAGGCUGCCCACUACACUCCGGUAUUCUGGCCUGAAGAAUCCCAUGGACAAAGGAGUCUGGUGGGCUACAGUCCAUGGAGUCACAAAGAGUCAGACACAACUUAGAGACUAACGUUAACUUUCAC